rnacentral:rRNA from 1 species
GACGAACGCUGGCGGCGUGCUUAACACAUGCAAGUCGAACGGAAAGGCCCUGCUUUUGUGGGGUGCUCGAGUGGCGAACGGGUGAGUAACACGUGAGUAACCUGCCCUUGACUUUGGGAUAACUUCAGGAAACUGGGGCUAAUACCGGAUAGGAGCUCCUGCUGCAUGGUGGGGGUUGGAAAGUUUCGGCGGUUGGGGAUGGACUCGCGGCUUAUCAGCUUGUUGGUGGGGUAGUGGCUUACCAAGGCUUUGACGGGUAGCCGGCCUGAGAGGGUGACCGGCCAAAUUGGGACUAGGAUACGGCCCAGGACCCGACGGGAGGAAGGCGGGGGGAAUUUGUCAACAGGGGGGGAAGACUGACGCAGCAACGCCGCGUGCGGGAUGACGGCCUUCGGAUGGUAAACCGCUUUCCCCUGUGCGGAAGGGGGAGGGAGGGUAAAGGGAAAAGAAGCACCGGUGACUUGCGU